AGAGGAGCUUGCUCUUCUUGGAUGAGUUGCGAACGGGUGAGUAACGCGUAGGUAACCUGCCUUGUAGCGGGGGAUAACUAUUGGAAACGAUAGCUAAUACCGCAUAACAAUGGAUGACACAUGUCAUUUAUUUGAAAGGGGCAAUUGCUCCACUACAAGAUGGACCUGCGUUGUAUUAGCUAGUAGGUGAGGUAAUGGCUCACCUAGGCGACGAUACAUAGCCGACCUGAGAGGGUGAUCGGCCACACUGGGACUGAGACACGGCCCAGACUCCUACGGGAGGCAGCAGUAGGGAAUCUUCGGCAAUGGGGGCAACCCUGACCGAGCAACGCCGCGUGAGUGAAGAAGGUUUUCGGAUCGUAAAGCUCUGUUGUAAGUCAAGAACGGGUGUGAGAGUGGAAAGUUCACACUGUGACGGUAGCUUACCAGAAAGGGACGGCUAACUACGUGCCAGCAGCCGCGGUAAUACGUAGGUCCCGAGCGUUGUCCGGAUUUAUUGGGCGUAAAGCGAGCGCAGGCGGUUUGAUAAGUCUGAAGUUAAAGGCUGUGGCUCAACCAUAGUUCGCUUUGGAAACUGUCAAACUUGAGUGCAGAAGGGGAGAGUGGAAUUCCAUGUGUAGCGGUGAAAUGCGUAGAUAUAUGGAGGAACACCGGUGGCGAAAGCGGCUCUCUGGUCUGUAACUGACGCUGAGGCUCGAAAGCGUGGGGAGCGAACAGGAUUAGAUACCCUGGUAGUCCACGCCGUAAACGAUGAGUGCUAGGUGUUGGAUCCUUUCCGGGAUUCAGUGCCGCAGCUAACGCAUUAAGCACUCCGCCUGGGGAGUACGACCGCAAGGUUGAAACUCAAAGGAAUUGACGGGGGCCCGCACAAGCGGUGGAGCAUGUGGUUUAAUUCGAAGCAACGCGAAGAACCUUACCAGGUCUUGACAUCCCGAUGCUAUUUCUAGAGAUAGAAAGUUACUUCGGUACAUCGGUGACAGGUGGUGCAUGGUUGUCGUCAGCUCGUGUCGUGAGAUGUUGGGUUAAGUCCCGCAACGAGCGCAACCCCUAUUGUUAGUUGCCAUCAUUCAGUUGGGCACUCUAGCGAGACUGCCGGUAAUAAACCGGAGGAAGGUGGGGAUGACGUCAAAUCAUCAUGCCCCUUAUGACCUGGGCUACACACGUGCUACAAUGGUUGGUACAACGAGUUGCGAGUCGGUGACGGCGAGCUAAUCUCUUAAAGCCAAUCUCAGUUCGGAUUGUAGGCUGCAACUCGCCUACAUGAAGUCGGAAUCGCUAGUAAUCGCGGAUCAGCACGCCGCGGUGAAUACGUUCCCGGGCCUUGUACACACCGCCCGUCACACCACGAGAGUUUGUAACACCCGAAGUCGGUGAGGUAACCUUUGGAGCCAGCCGCCUAAGUGAACAGAU
rnacentral:rRNA from 1 species